GACAGAGGAUGCAAGCGUUAUCCGGAAUGAUUGGGCGUAAAGCGUCUGUAGGUGGCUUUUUAAGUCCGCCGUCAAAUCCCAGGGCUCAACCCUGGACAGGCGGUGGAAACUACCAAGCUGGAGUACGGUAGGGCAGAGGGAAUUUCCGGUGGAGCGGGUGAAAUGACGUAGAGAGUCGAAAGAACACCAACGGCGAAAGGCAAC
rnacentral:rRNA from 1 species